GAUGAACGCUGGCGGCGUGCCUAAUACAUGCAAGUCGAACGAACAGACGAGGAGCUUGCUCCUCUGACGUUAGCGGCGGACGGGUGAGUAACACGUGGAUAACCUACCUAUAAGACUGGGAUAACUUCGGGAAACCGGAGCUAAUACCGGAUAAUAUAUUGAACCGCAUGGUUCAAUAGUGAAAGACGGUUUUGCUGUCACUUAUAGAUGGAUCCGCGCCGCAUUAGCUAGUUGGUAAGGUAACGGCUUACCAAGGCAACGAUGCGUAGCCGACCUGAGAGGGUGAUCGGCCACACUGGAACUGAGACACGGUCCAGACUCCUACGGGAGGCAGCAGUAGGGAAUCUUCCGCAAUGGGCGAAAGCCUGACGGAGCAACGCAGCGUGAGUGAUGAAGGUCUGCGGAUCGUAAAACUCUGUUAUUAGGGAAGAACAAAUGUGUAAGUAACGAUGCACGUCUGGACGGUACCGAAACAGAAAGCCCCGGCUAACUACGU
rnacentral:rRNA from 1 species